GAAAGAUUCAUCGGAAGAGGAUGGGCAUGCGGCGCAUUAGCUAGACGGCGGGGUAACGGCCCACCGUGGCGACGAUGCGUAGGGGUUCUGAGAGGAAGGUCCCCCACACUGGUACUGAGACACGGACCAGACUCCUACGGGAGGCAGCAGUGAGGAAUAUUGGUCAAUGGGAGAGAUCCUGAACCAGCCAAGCCGCGUGAGGGAAGACGGCCCUAUGGGUUGUAAACCUCUUUUGUCGGAGAACAAAACCCGGGACGUGUCCCGGACUGCGUGUAUCCGAAGAAAAAGCAUCGGCUAACUCCGUGCCAGCAGCCGCGGUAAUACGGAGGAUGCGAGCGUUAUCCGGAUUUAUUGGGUUUAAAGGGUGCGUAGGCGGUCCGUUAAGUCAGCGGUAAAAUUGCGGGGCUCAACCCCGUCGAGCCGUUGAAACUGGCAGACUUGAGUUGGCGAGAAGUACGCGGAAUGCGCGGUGUAGCGGUGAAAUGCAUAGAUAUCGCGCAGAACUCCGAUUGCGAAGGCAGCGUACCGGCGCCAGACUGACGCUGAGGCACGAAAGCGUGGGGAUCGGACAGGAUUAGAUACCCUGGUAGUCCACGCAGUAAACGAU
rnacentral:rRNA from 1 species